rnacentral:rRNA from 1 species
UACGUAGGGGGCAAGCGUUGUCCGGAAUCAUUGGGCGUAAAGCGCGUGUAGGCGGUUACGUAAGUCUGCUGUGAAAGUCGGAGGCUCAACCUUCGAAAGCCGGUGGAUACUGCGUGACUUGAGUACGGAAGAGGAGAGUGGAAUUCCUGGCGUAGCGGUGAAAUGCGCAGAUAUCAGGAGGAACACCAACGGCGAAGGCAGCUCUCUGGGACGUUACUGACGCUGAGACGCGAAAGCGUGGGGAGCAAACAGG